rnacentral:rRNA from 1 species
GACAGAGGGUGCAAACGUUGUCCGGAAUCAUUGGGCGUAAAGCGCGUGUAGGCGGUCCGGUAAGUCCGCUGUGAAAGUCGAGGGCUCAACCCUCGAAUGCCGGUGGAUACUGUCGGGCUUGAGUACGGGAGAGGCGAGUGGAAUUCCUGGUGUAGCGGUGAAAUGCGCAGAUAUCAGGAGGAACACCGAUUGCGAAGGCAGCUCGCUGGAACGUUACUGACGCUGAGACGCGAAAGCGUGGGGAGCAAACAGG